AACGCACCUUGCGCUCCUUGGUAUUCCGAGGAGCAUGCCUGUUUGAGUGUCAUGAAAUUCUCAACCUCUCUGUCUUUUUCAAAGAUGGUUAGGCUUGGAUUGUGGGAGUUUGCAGGCUUUCUUCAAGAGUCAGCUCUCCUUAAAUGUAUUAGCCAAAUUGUUGCUGGAUCAUCAUUGAUAUGAUAAUUAUCUAUAUCAUUGAAGACUGGCUUGGAUUUAGCUUCCAACUGGUCCUCUCAGAGACCUUUUUGACAUCUUUGACCUCAAAUCAGGUAGGACUACCCGCUGAACUUAA
rnacentral:misc_RNA from 1 species